rnacentral:rRNA from 1 species
GUUGGGACCGCCUCUGCUAAGAGGAGGAAGGAAUAGGGCAACGGUAGGUCAGCAUGCCCCGAAUUAUCUGGGCUACACGCGGGCUACAAUGGGUGGGACAAUGGGUAUCGACACCGAAAGGUGAAGGCAAUCUCCUAAACCCAUCCUUAGUUCGGAUUGUGGGCUGCAACUCGCCCACAUGAAGCUGGAAUCUGUAGUAAUCGUGUUUCAAAAUAGCACGGUGAAUAUGUCCCUGCUCCAU